GUCCACAUCAUAUUGAAACACUGGCUCCUCUAUGAUCACUAAAGUUAAACAACAUUGAGCCUGGUCAGUAACAAGAUGGGUGACCACUUGAGAAUACUAGGUGCUGUAA